GACGAACGCUGGCGGCGUGCUUAACACAUGCAAGUCGAACGGAAAGGCCCUGCUUUUGUGGGGUGCUCGAGUGGCGAACGGGUGAGUAACACGUGAGUAACCUGCCCUUGACUUUGGGAUAACUUCAGGAAACUGGGGCUAAUAACGGAUAGGAGCUCCUGCUGCAUGGUGGGGGUUGGAAAGUUUCGGCGGUUGGGGAUGGACUCGCGGCUUAUCAGCUUGUUGGUGGGGUAGUGGCUUACCAAGGCUUUGACGGGUAGCCGGCCUGAGAGGGUGACCGGCCACAUUGGGACUGAGAUACCGCCCACACUCCUACGGGCGCUAGCGGUGUGGAAUUUUGCCCUAGCGGCGGCAGCCUGAUGCAGCAACGUCGCGUGUGGUAUGACGGCCUUCGGGUUUUAAACCGCUUUCGCGUGAGACGUUGCUAGAGUGACGGUAAUGGGUAAAGAUGCACCCCCUAUCUUUGUU
rnacentral:rRNA from 1 species